rnacentral:sRNA from 1 species
ACCAAAAACCAAAAAAAAAAAAACCAAAA